rnacentral:rRNA from 1 species
UACAGAGGGUGCAAGCGUUGUUCGGAUUCAUUGGGCGUAAAGGGUGCGUAGGCGGUUUGUUAAGUCUGUUGUGAAAGCCCCGAGCUUAACUUGGGAAUUGCGCUCGAAACUACGAUGCUGGAGUGUGGCAGAGGAAGGUGGAAUUCCACGUGUAGCGGUGAAAUGCGUAGAGAUGUGGAGGAACACCGCUGGCGAAGGCAGCCCUUCUGGGCCAACACUGACGCUCAUGCACGAAAGCGUGGGGAGCAAACAGG